rnacentral:lncRNA from 1 species
GUUUUUAGUCAGUAACCCUCUUAUUAUAAAACGCGGUAUCAAAUAAGUAUCGGCUUUUGUACUACCUUUAAUCCACCUUUAAGUACGACCUUGAAAAAACGUUAUUACAAAACGCAGUUUAUCGCAAGUCCUAUUACUAUCUGUAGUACAAAAGAUAAACCAUCGAGCCCCCUAGUUUAACUGCAGUACUUAGUCGACAAACGUCAAAUUCCGACAUUAUUUACUUUUGAGGUUAUUUGUUUUGUGAUGAAAAAAACGAAAGUGGAUAUAAAUAUGUGUGAUUUGGAAUACUUGGAUGUGUUAGAAUACUAUUGAGAGUGUCCGGGGACCCAACAGAAUGCGUCAUCGACAAAAUCUCUUCAAAUUACCUGACGACAAUUUUCGAUAUAAAUAUCGAUUUACGUUUUUCGAAAUAAUAGUCAAUUGAAUGCAUGAUGAUAAUCCAGGAUGAUCCUAUGAUGCUCAACUGGGCUCGCCAUAAAAUUCAAGACUAUUUUGGCGUUUUGCACGCCGUAUCUCUGCCAGUAAUAUGCAAUAUUUGUAAAAGACUGGAAGCUUGCUAAAAUGUACAAAAAUGCCUAGAUGAGAAAGGGAACAAGAUUGUGUGAUGAAGAACAGUGUCCAACAUGUAUCAGUGCAUUUAACUGUAUAAAUAGACAUCGGAAUAAAAUAUAAUUUUCUACU